GAGCGUCAUUUGUACCCUCAAGCUAUGCUUGGUGUUGGGUGAUUGUCUACUUACUUGGGUAGACUCGCCUCAAAUUCAUUGGCAGCUGGUAUUCUGGUUUUAAGCGUAGCACAAUUACGUUUUACUCUGGGGAGCCCGCGUCCACGAAGCACAUUAUCACGUUUGACCUCGGAUCAGGUAGGGAUACCCGCUGAACUUAA
rnacentral:misc_RNA from 1 species